rnacentral:hammerhead_ribozyme from 1 species
GUACUGCUGAAGAGUCCCAAACCAGGACGAAACAGCUGUCCAGUAU